GAUGAACGCUGGCGGCGUGCCUAAUACAUGCAAGUCGAGCGAACGGACGAGAAGCUUGCUUCUCUGAUGUUAGCUGCGGACGGGUGAGUAACACGUGGAUAACCUACCUAUAAGACUGGGAUAACUUCGGGAAACCGGAGCUAAUGCCGGAUAAUAUUUUGAACCGCAUGGUUCAAAAGUGAAAGACGGUCUUGCUGUCACUUAUAGAUGGAUCCGCGCUGCAUUAGCUAGUUGGUAAGGUAACGGCUUACCAAGGCAACGAUGCAUAGCCGACCUGAGAGGGUGAUCGGCCACACUGGAACUGAGACACGGUCCAGACUCCUACGGGAGGCAGCAGUAGGGAAUCUUCCGCAAUGGGCGAAAGCCUGACGGAGCAACGCCGCGUGAGUGAUGAAGGUCUUCGGAUCGUAAAACUCUGUUAUUAGGGAAGAACAUAUGUGUAAGUAACUGUGCACAUCUUGACGGUACCUAAUCAGAAAGCCACGGCUAACUACGUG
rnacentral:rRNA from 1 species